UACGUAGGGUGCGAGCGUUGUCCGGAAUUAUUGGGCGUAAAGAGCUUGUAGGCGGUCUGUCGCGUCUGCUGUGAAAAUCCGGGGCUCAACCCCGGACUUGCAGUGGGUACGGGCAGACUAGAGUGUGGUAGGGGAGACUGGAAUUCCUGGUGUAGCGGUGAAAUGCGCAGAUAUCAGGAGGAACACCGAUGGCGAAGGCAGGUCUCUGGGCCACUACUGACGCUGAGGAGCGAAAGCCAGGGGAGCAAACGGG
rnacentral:rRNA from 1 species